rnacentral:rRNA from 1 species
CGGCGAAUGGGUGAGUAACACGUGCUUAAUCUACCUCUUAGAUUGGAAUACCUAAUGGAAACAUUGGUUAAUGCCGGAUACGCAUGGAGUCGCAUGACUCCGUUGUGAAAGGGGCCUUUAAAGCUCCACUAAGAGAUGAGGGUGCGGAACAUUAGCUAGUUGGUGAGGUAACGGCCCACCAAGGCUAUGAUGUUUAGCCGGGUCGAGAGACUGAACGGCCACAUUGGGACUGAGAUACGGCCCAAACUCC